rnacentral:rRNA from 1 species
GACGAACGCUGGCGGCGUGCUUAACACAUGCAAGUCGAACGAAGUGGCGAAAGGGUGAGUAACGCGUAAUCAACCUGCCCUUCAGAGGGGGACAACAGUUGGAAACGACUGCUAAUACCGCAUACUGAAGGAGGGGAUUGCGUGUGAUUAGCUAGUUGGAGGGGUAACGGCCCACCAAGGCGAUGAUCAGUAGCCGGGCUGAGAGGAUGAACGGCCACAUUGGGGCUGAGAAACGGCCCAGACUCCUACGGGAGGCAGGAGUGGGGAAGUUUCCGAAAUGGAGGAAAGUCUGACGGAGCACCGCCGCGUUAGGGAUGACGGCCUUCGGGUUGGAAAGCUCUGUUAAUCGGGACGCGGUACCGGAAUAGAGAGCCACGGCUAACUACGUGCCAGCAGCCGCGGUAAUAC